rnacentral:snoRNA from 1 species
UAAAUUAUGACGACUGUCAGUGGAUGAUUGCAAUUGCGUUUGCGAUUACGAUGAGGUUGUCGAUUACCAACUGGCGUUAAAAUGUUGUGGCGGCUUUCAUAAAUUUUGUAUUCCAGUAUGCAGACUUUCACGCCUGAUAUU